rnacentral:lncRNA from 1 species
AAUUAAUACUCGUUAAAUUAAGAAUCUUUAUAAAUUAUUAAAUUUCGCAGGUCCCAACUUGGACCAGUUGAAAAUUUGAUACAAAUCAAUAAAAUAAUAAGAUAAUUUUUAUUUUCAAAAAUUCUAUGUAAAUAUAUGGUUCCAAUAAAAUUAUAAAUUAAUAAUUUAUAUGUAUAUAUAUUUUAUAUAAGUAAGAACCUAUUAUUAUAUUCUCUAUUUUAUAUUCACAAUGGAAUUAUCUUUAUAUUUUCUUAACACUUCAUAUGUUUUUGAUGAGAUUUAGUAAUAUUAUAUCUAAAACCACAUUUAAGUUCUAUGCAAUAUAUAUUAUAUACAACAAAUAAUAUAAUAAAAUUAAUAUAAAUGUAAAAUUUCAAUCAAACGACACAUGGAUUCUAACUCAAGCAAGUUUCUGAACACACAUGUAGCUUGUCUGAUCCCUUUCUUCCUUCUUUCUCUCUUCUUUGAAUCUCAAUUCCAAUGAACAAUGAUGAUGAUACCGUCCAUUUUUAUUCACCUUCUUUUUGAUUUUUUUUAUCUUGUCACAUGAG